rnacentral:rRNA from 1 species
UGAUUUGGUAGUGUAUUGGACUACCACGGCUCUCACGGGUAACGGGGAAUUAGGGUUCGAUUCCGGAGAAGGAGCCUGAGAAACGGCUACUUCAUCUAAGGAAGGCAGCAGGCGCGUAAAUUACCCAAUCCUGACUCAGGGAGGUAGUGACAAGAUAUAACAACACGACUAAAAUCGUGAUUGUAGUGAGGGUAUUCCAAACCGAACUUCGAGUACGAUUGGAGGGCAAGUCUGGUGCCAGCAGCCGCGGUAAUUCCAGCUCCAAUAGCGUAUAUUAAAGUUGUUGCAGUUAAAAAGCUCGUAGUUGGAUUUCAAGGAUAUCCAAUGGGCAACCAUUGUAUCCUAUCAGUCUUUGACUGUUACUGUGAGAAAAUUAGAGUGUUUCAAGCAGGCUGUUGCCCGAAUACAUUAGCAUGGAAUAACGAAUGUGUCUAGAAUCUUGGUUAAUUCUAGAUUACGAUUAAUAGGGAUAGUUGGGGGGCAUUAGUAUUUAAUUGUCAGAGGUGAAAUUCUUGGAUUUGUUAAAGACUAACGUAUGCGAAAGCAUUUGCCAAGGAUGUUUUCA